UACGUAGGUGGCAAGCGUUGUCCGGAUUUACUGGGCGUAAAGGGCGUGCAGGCGGUUUGUUAAGUGCAGGGUGAAAGCUCCCGGCUCAACUGGGAGAGGUCCUUGCAUACUGGCAAACUCGAGGGAGGCAGAGGAAAGUGAAUUCCCGGUGUAGUGGUGAUAUGCGUAGAUAUCGGGAGGAACACCUGUGGCGAAGGCGGCUUUCUGGGCCUUACCUGACGCUGAGACGCGAAAAGCGUGGGG
rnacentral:rRNA from 1 species